CAUAGCGACUAUCGUGGCAUAUCAAUAAGCGGAGGAAAAGAAACUAACAAGGAUUCCCUUAGUAACGGCGAGUGAAGCGGGAAGAGCUCAAAUUUGAAAUCUUCAAGGUUCUACCUUGACGAAUUGUAGUUUAUAGAAGUGUUUUCUGUUAGUAGAGUGGCAAAAGUUCUUUGGAAUAGGACAUCAUAGAGGGUGAGAAUCCCGUAUUUGGUCAUUCCUUCCUAGCGUUGUGAUACACUUUCAACGAGUCGGAUUGUUUGGGAAUGCAGUCCAAAAUGGGUGGUAAAUUUCAUCUAAAGCUAAAUAUUGGCGAGAGACCGAUAGCGAACAAGUACCGUGAGGGAAAGAUGAAAAGAACUUUGAAAAGAGAGUUAAACAGUACGUGAAAUUGUCAAAAGGGAAGCGUUUGACACCAGUGUUGUUUUUCCGAAAAUCAAUUACGAAUGUUUUAUUUUUGAGGAGUUAUGACUUCAUCGGCUUGCUUCUCUCUUUAUGAAACUUUCUUAAUGCACUUUUCGGUUAACAAGUCAACAUCAAUUUCUUUUGUUGUAAAAGGGUAUGAGGAAGGUGGCUUUCUUUUCGGAGAAAGUGUUUAUAGCCUUGUACCUCUGCAAUCGGAGAGAUUGAGGUCUGCAGCGUAGAUCCUUCGGGGUUAGAUACAGUUUGUGCUAAGUUAUAGCUUGUCAUAGACAACUUGUUGACUAUGUUAAGUCAUCGUAGCUUACUCGCUUAUGCUAUUUUACCUACGCUUAGGAUGUUGAUAGUCACAGCGUGUAC
rnacentral:rRNA from 1 species